rnacentral:lncRNA from 1 species
CCCGGCAUCCUAGCCCUGGCGCCCGGCGGCUGCGAACUUUUGGGUAAGCCUUUACUUUUAGGGUUAGGGUUUGCCCUUUUUUGCCUUUUCUUCUUUUUCUUUUUCUACCCGAGCAAGAUCUACCGCCCUUAACGUCGCUCUGAUACCAUUGCUAAGUUCCUAGAUGUCUCUAGGGGUAGAUCUUAGCCGGUAGAUAGGUUUCUGUUAUACGAGUAUGGCAUGGAUAUAGGGAUCGUGAGAGAGAGAGAAAGGGAAAGGUGUACCUUCUCCUUGGCUGGACGAAGGCGCCGUUGACGACAUGACGGCGCGAGCGACGGUGAGGGGCGACGGUGAGGGAGCGACGGUGGCGGCGGAGCUUCUCGUCGCUUCUGCGCAAACCCUAGAUCGGGCUUGGGGUUGUCGUGGGG